CUCGCCCGGGAACUACGAGCAUAAGCUUAAAACCCAAAGGACUUGGCGGUGCUUUAGACCCACCUAGAGGAGCCUGUUCUAGAACCGAUAACCCCCGUUCAACCUCACCCUCCCUUGCUUAACCCGCCUAUAUACCGCCGUCGUCAGCUUACCCUGUAAAGGACAUAUAGUAAGCAAAAUUGGCAUAGCCCAAAACGUCAGGUCGAGGUGUAGCGUAUGAGAGGGGAAGAAAUGGGCUACAUUCACUGGCACAGUACAUACGAACGAUGAAUUGAAACCAGACAUCUGAAGGAGGAUUUAGCAGUAAGGAGGUAAAGCAGAGCGUUCCCCUGAAACUGGCCCUGAAGCGCGCACACACCGCCCGUCACUCUCCCCGAGCUUACACCUAGCCCGUAAAUAAAACACAAUAAAUGCAAAGGGGAGGCAAGUCGUAACAUGGUAAGUGUACCGGAAGGUGCACUUGGAAAAAU
rnacentral:rRNA from 1 species